UCCUUUCCCACCCUACUUUCUAGAAGAAUCCCCCAUACAGCUUCAGCACUUCGCUGGCUUUGCCCCGCACCAACCUUCUCCCCUUCCUUCCCCUCCAAACCUCCACCUACCCUCAACUGCCCACCACUCUCCAAAACACAGGGCACUACCCGCACGAGGAGCAAGAGAAUCGUUCUUCCCUACCCAGGAAAACGAACUUUGCUGUCCCAGCACGGUCUGCAAAGGCGAGAUGCUUCUCCGGACAGAAGGUAACAUUCCGAUCUACAAUACAUCAUAGCCCAGUUGACAAAGGUCACUCCGGUUAAAAGAAAGAGCUGAAAGGAAAGAAUUCAUUUUGUUACCUAACUGGGAGUUUUUCUCCUACCCCAUUGGCUGGAUUGGUGAAUGAGCGUGCUUUUAGUAUCUGAUCCGACCCUUCAGGUAAUCUCAGCAGUAACUAGAGGAAGAAUUUGAACCCAGUCUGGCCCCACCUUUGCUGCAGCCAGAAAAGCUGAAAAGCUGGCUUCUGUAAACGUCAAGGACAAAUGCCACCCUAUUGCUUAUUGAAUUUGGAAGAAUUAAUUAGUAACUUGGAAUGAUUCAACUUGGAGUGUGGUGCACACUUCAGGGCUUCUUGCAAAGAUGGGCUUUGGAAAUAACAUUGAACUCCGGCUUCAUUCCUUUCUUCUACCACUUCAUAACCUUCCCGGGACUCCAAAUCCAACUUGCUUACUGAAGUCUGACAGAAAAAUGCUUUCAAGACCAGAGGAAUGAAAGGGUUUUCAGAAGCCAGACCUGGCCUCUUCAUAUUUGAGGGUGGCUUUCCAGUCAUGGGGUGAGGCCAUGGGCUGAGCUAAUCAUUAGCAGGAAUGUGGAAAUGCCUCACUAUACCUCCGGUUUGCAUCCAGGAAGAGUGGCCCACAUCUGUGUUUCUCAACCUUCCCAAUGCUGUGCACCUUUAAUACAGCUCCUCCUGUUGUGGUGACCCCAACCAAAAAUUAUUUAUUUCAUAACUGUAAUUUUGCUACUGUUAUGAAUUGUAAUGUAAAUAAGGGGUUGUGACCCACAGGUUGAGAACCCAUUGCCGUACAUGGUUUUUCUCCCCUAUAUGGAAACUAAGGACCCUGAGACUACAUGCAGGAGCCAAUGCACCUUCUCUGUGAAAGGGUAAAGAGCAAGCAUCGUUCUUCCCAAGGUCGAUAUCAUAAGUACUCAAUUCUUCUGCCUGGUGCAUUAUAGACUCACCUAUGGACGGUGUAAAUAAGUGGGUAGAGUUGUAUUCUAGAAACAUGUAUUUCAAGAAAAGCAAGCAAGUAAGCAAGCAAACAAACAAAGACUGGGUGUGCUCUGUAGUAAUGCCUGCUGACUCCUUAUCUGAAGACUGGAAGGACUAGUCUCUUAGUGAUGUGAAGAUGUCUACAUGCUAUAUACCCAUAGUAAAUGGAUAUGUGGGUAAAAAAAUCCUCUGCAUGAGUUUCACACAAGUAUCUCCAUAUUUCAGAGGAAAUUCCAGAGAGAUUAAUAAUGUAAACAUUUUAAAGCUGUAAAAGUCCUAAAAAUAGUAAAAGACUACCUCAUGUUGUUGGUUAUCCUUACAAUAUUAGAUAGAAAUAGGAUUUAAAAAAUACCAGAAGCUGUAAAAGAAAAAAAUCAACAAGCAUGAUAAAAAUCAUUAUUUCUAUGCAUAGAAGUAAAGGCCUAAUGCAGAUUGUAGAAACUUAUAUGGAAAGGAGAAGCAGUGAAAUAUUUCAAAUAGAUGGAGGAUAUGCAGAAGCAGCUCUCAAAAAGAGGAAUGUGUUCUAAUGCUAAUGCAAACAUAUUCAAACUCACCAAUGGUCAGAAUGUAAAUCAGCACAUAACAACAUGGGUUUUACUUAUUACGGCAAAAAUAUGUCUUUCUCCUAAGUGU